rnacentral:rRNA from 1 species
GGGGGGGGGGGGGGGGGGGGGGGGGGGGGGGGGGGGGGGCGGGGGGGGUCUGGUGGGUGCGCUAGAAAGGCUUGGCGGCGGACGGGGGGGUGACACGUAGCGAACCUGCCUCAUAGACUGGGACAACUAUUGGAAACGAUAGCUAAUGCCGGAUAACAGCAUUAACUGCAUGGUUGAUGUUUACAAGUUUGUUUUGCUAACACUAUGAGAUGGCUUUGCGGUGCAUUAGCUAGUUGGUGGGGUAAAGGCCUACCACGGCGACGAUGCAUAGCCGACCUGAGAGGGUGAUCGGCCACACUGGGACUGAGACACGGCCCAGAUUCCUAAGGGAGGCAGCAGUAGGGAAUCUUCCGCAAUGGGCGAAAGCCUGACGGAGCAACGCCGCGUGAGUGAAGAAGGAUUUCGGUUCGUAAAGCUCUGUUGUUAGGGAAGAAUGAUUGUGUAGUAACUAUACACAGUAGAGACGGUACCUAACCAGAAAGCCACGGCUAACUACGUG